GACGAACGCUGGCGGCGUGCUUAUCACAUGCAAGUCGAACGGUAAGGCCCUUCGGGGUACACGAGUGGCGAACGGGUGAGUAACACGUGGGUGAUCUGCCCUGCACUUCGGGAUAAGCCUGGGAAACUGGGUCUAAUACCGGAUAGGACUCCGGACUGCAUGGUCUGGGGUGGAAAGCUUUUGCGGUGUGGGAUGGGCCCGCGGCCUAUCAGCUCGUUGGUGGGGUGAUGGCCUACCAAGGCGACGACGGGUAGCCGGCCUGAGAGGGUGACCGGCCACACUGGGACUGAGAUACGGCCCAGACUCCUACGGGAGGCAGCAGUGGGGAAUAUUGCACAAUGGGCGCAAGCCUGAUGCAGCGACGCCGCGUGAGGGAUGACGGCCUUCGGGUUGUAAACCUCUUUCAGCACAGACGAAGCGCAAGUGACGGUAUGUGCAGAAGAAGGACCGGCCAACUACGUGCCAGCCGCCGCCGUAA
rnacentral:rRNA from 1 species